rnacentral:rRNA from 1 species
UACAGAGGGUGCGAGCGUUGUCCGGAAUUAUUGGGCGUAAAGGGCUCGUAGGCGGUCUGUCACGUCGGGAGUGAAAACUCAGGGCUUAACCCUGAGCCUGCUUCCGAUACGGGCAGACUAGAGGUAUGCAGGGGAGAACGGAAUUCCUGGUGUAGCGGUGAAAUGCGCAGAUAUCAGGAGGAACACCGGUGGCGAAGGCGGUUCUCUGGGCAUUACCUGACGCUGAGGAGCGAAAGUGUGGGGAGCGAACAGG